rnacentral:tRNA from 1 species
GCGCCCGUAGCUCAACGGGAUAGAGCAUCGGUCUUCGGAAUCGAGGGUUGGGGGUUCGAAUCCCUCCGGGCGCA